GGGUCAGUAGGUUGGUCGUGCCACCGGUACGUACUGGUCUCACUGAUUCCUCCUUUCUGAAGAACCGUAAUGCCAUUAAUUUGGUGUUGCGGGGAAACAGGACUGUUACUUUGAAAAAAUUAGAGUGUUUAAAGCAGGCUAACGCUUGAAUACAUUAGCAUGGAAUAAUGAAAUAGGACGAUCGAUCCUAUUUUGUUGGUUUCUAGGAUUGACGUAAUGAUUAAGGGAUAGUUGGG
rnacentral:rRNA from 1 species